rnacentral:RNase_P_RNA from 1 species
AAAGCAGGCUAUCUUAUCGCUUGGUAACAAGAGGAAAGUCCGGACACCAUAGAGCAAGCAUAGCGGCUAACGGCCGUCCGUCGUGAGGCGAGGACAAGUGCAACAGAAAGGAUGUACAGGUAAUGCUGUAGUGAAAUCAGGUAAACUCUAUGCGGUGCAACGCCAUGUAAACCAAUGUUUGAGGGCUGCUCGUCCGAUGUUGGAGGGUAGGCGGUUUGAAUUUGCAGGUAACUGUAAAUCUAGAUAAAUGAUAAGGCUUUGACAGAAUCCGGCUUACGGCCUGCUUUUUAU